rnacentral:rRNA from 1 species
GACGUAGGGCGCGAGCGUUGUCCGGAAUCACUGGGCGUAAAGGGCGCGUAGGCGGCUCAUGAAGGCUGUGGUGAAAGUCCGGGGCUCAACCUCGGAUCGGCCGUGGCGACUCGUGGGCUGGAGCACUGUAGAGGCGGGUGGAAUUCCGGGUGUAGCGGUGGAAUGCGUAGAGAUCCGGAAGAACACCAGUGGCGAAGGCGGCCCGCUGGGCAGUGGCUGACGCUGAGGCGCGACAGCGUGGGGAGCAAACGGG